ensembl:misc_RNA Metazoa_SRP Metazoan signal recognition particle RNA
GCCAGGCAUGGUGGCGCAUGCCUGUAAUCCCAGCUACUUGGGAGGCUGAGGCAGGAGAAUUGCUUGAACCCGGGAGGCAGAGGUUGCAGUGAGCCGAGGUCAUGCCACUGCAUUCCAGCCUGGGCAACAGAGUGAGACUCUGUCUCAA